GCCUUUAUAGCUCAGUUGGCAGAGCGUUCGCCUUGUAAGCGAAAGGUCACUAGUUCGAUUCUGGUUGGAGGCA